GACGGAGGAUGCAAGUGUUAUCCGGAAUCACUGGGCGUAAAGCGUCUGUAGGUGGUCCAAUAAGUCAACUGUUAAAUCUUGGGGCUCAACCUCAAAAUCGCAGUCGAAACUAUUAGACUAGAGUAUAGUAGGGGUAAAGGGAAUUUCCAGUGGAGCGGUGAAAUGCGUAGAGAUUGGAAAGAACACCGAUGGCGAAGGCACUUUACUGGGCUAUUACUAACACUGAGAGACGAAAGCUAGGGUAGCAAAUGCG
rnacentral:rRNA from 1 species